rnacentral:rRNA from 1 species
UACGGAGGGGACUAGCGUUGUUCGGAAUUACUGGGCGUAAAGCGCACGUAGGCGGAUUUGUAAGUCAGGGGUGAAAUCCCGGGGCUCAACCUCGGAACUGCCUUUGAUACUGCAAAUCUCGAGUCCGGAAGAGGUGAGUGGAAUUCCUAGUGUAGAGGUGAAAUUCGUAGAUAUUAGAAAGAACACCAGUGGCGAAGGCGGCUCACUGGUCCGGUACUGACGCUGAGGUGCGAAAAGCGUGGGGAGCAAACAGG